GCGGGAGUAGUUCAGCGGUAGAAUGUCUGCUUCCCAAGCAGAAGGUCGCGGGUUCAAGUCCCGUCUCCCGCUCCG
rnacentral:tRNA from 2 species